CUUUUUGAAAUAAAUUUAAAGUCUAACCUGCCCACUGAAUAUUUUAAAUGGCCGCCGUAUUUUGACUGUGCAAAGGUAGCAUAAUCAUUAGUCUUUUAAUUGAAGGCUGGAAUGAAUGGUUGGACGAAAUAUUAACUGUUUCAUUUAAAAUUUUAAUAGAAUUUUAUUUUUUAAUCAAAAAGCUAAAAUAAAUUUAAAAGACGAGAAGACCCUAUAAAUCUUUAUAUUUUAUUUUAUUUUAAUUAUAUAGAUUAAUUAAAUUUUAAUAAAUAUAAAUAUUUUAUUGGGGUGAUAUUAAAAUUUAAAAAACUUUUAAUUUUUUAAAAACAUUAAUUUAUGAAUAUUUGAUCCAUUAAUAAUGAUUAAAAAAUUAAGUUACUUUAGGGAUAACAGCGUAAUUUUUUUGGAGAGUUCAUAUCGAUAAAAAAGAUU
rnacentral:rRNA from 1 species